GUGGAACUGCUGCAGAACUAAUUGCUCUCCAGUCUCCACUCUGAGUAUGAAUGCCCAGGCGUAACAUCUCAUGCCUUAAAGGCACAGUAAGAAAGUGCAGGAAUAAGAACUCAAGGGGAACUCAAAGCUUCAGAGAUGACUGCAAAAGGGGAAAGUUUUUGCUACAAAGGCAGGUGUAAGCAGGAGCCCAUCACAACCUAAUUUUUAUCUGAGCUUUGUUAUAAAGAAACUUGUCAUACUCACUUUAGAAAUUACCUUUUCUAGUAGCUUUUAUUUUUUACAUUUUAUUAAAUCUUUCUUGUCCAGUAAGAAUGGUUUACACUGUUAUUGCAUGCAUCCUCAGUCUGGAAAGAAAAU
rnacentral:lncRNA from 1 species